UACGUAGGGGGCUAGCGUUGUCCGGAUUUACUGGGCGUAAAGAGCGCGCAGGCGGCUGGUCAAGUCCGGUGUGAAAGCUCCCGGCUUAACUGGGAAAUUGCAUCGGAAACUGAUCGGCUGGAAGGUGGGAGAGGGUAGCGGAAUUCCCGGUGUAGUGGUGAAAUGCGUAGAUAUCGGGAGGAACACCAGUGGCGAAAGCGGCUACCUGGCCCAUUCUUGACGCUGAGGCGCGAAAGCUAGGGGAGCAAACGGG
rnacentral:rRNA from 1 species